GAUCCCGUAGCUCAGCAGGGAGAGCGCCACCUUGACAGGGUGGAGGUCGUGAGGUCGUGAGUUCGAACCUCUCCGGGGUCA
rnacentral:tRNA from 1 species